UUUUCAGGUUUACAUUCCCUUCAUUUUUCCUAGCCAGUUAUUUUUUGACAUAUUUGAUUUAGUUGUAUACUUUAUUUUUCCCCACUGCAAAUACCCUUUACAAUUUUUUUGAGUGGGGUUGAGUCAUCAUAUCUUGUUCCUCAUCAUAAAAAGUUGCACAGAUGACUUAUUUUCUGAACUGGUUUGGAUAUAUAUUUAUCUUUUACAAGAAUCUUUUUUUUUGUUAGUUUGGUACUUUUACGUAAAUUUACUGGAACUGUUGAUUGUAAUCAUGUCAGAGCAGCUGAUCCAGUUGAUUAUUUUUCUUAGUGACUAAGGUAUUUACCGUAUAGGCACUACGUUAGUAAAUAAGCUAAAGGUGCACAAACCAUUUCCAAGACGGUCCUAUUUUACAAAAAGCCCAACUGUCUGACGGCCCUGUAGCCUGUAGGCCGCCUGCUCAGAACAUAACAACUCUCAGUGCAACAACAGGGGCACAUUUAUUAUUCAGAAUGACGACAUUGGACAUCCCCAUUUUUUAAGUGCAAUCAAGAUUGUUGGCCAUUGUCUUUUGGAGCAUGCCAUGUGUUCAUUAGAGGGUCGAUAGAAGAGAUUCCGGUCCCUGGAUAUUGGUUGGCUACAUACAAAGCGUGUUAAAAGAGGUAAACUGACUCCAGCUCCUUUUCCUACCCCAAAAAGCUACAGACAAGGAAAAUGAAGCUUUCACUUAGCCUCUUCAUAGGCCUCUGUGACGUGAAAGACAAUGGUCAUGUUUCUGGAGAAGUAACGGUUUGUUUUUUUAUUCCCGCUUCACAGCUGCAAACCCACUUCCCGCCAGUAUUUAGUUUCCCCCAUUAACUGAGCACCCCACCCAUCUGCUUUUUCACACUGCUCGACUGCCGGCUCACUUUCACUGUUGGAAUUUUGGUACUGAUCACCUGUUAAUGGAGGCUGAUGAAGACAGUUUAAUUAUUUAAUGAACAGCUUAGAGGUGAAAGGAGUCUAAACAGGCCAGCAGGCCGGUGUCGUCAUGUGAGUCCUCCUUCCUCUGCAGCAGUGACAGCACCAGUGCUAGCUCGACUAUAUCACCUAACAAGCUUCUCCCCUCGGUCUGAUUACCUACUAAGAGAAGGAACUACUGUGGACAAGUGCAGUUAAAAAAACGUCAUUUAUUUUUAAAAGCAUAAUCUUAUGCUUGCAGAAACUUAACUUGAAAAUACCAUACAAUUAUUUCAGUUAAUAAUCAAGACGUCAUUUUAUAUAUAUUCGAUAAGAUGAAUAAUUUAGAUACAUAAAUAUGUAUCUAAAUAACACAUAAAAAGGAUUUUGUAAGUUAAACCCUCUGGCAAAUUUCAAACAGGAAUGACUUUCCACAGAGAAGGCCUAAGGCUGAUUAGAGUUCCAUUGGCUCGGUAGCUAAUUCCACCAAAAACCUUUUGUAACCAAAUUUUGGGCAUCAUAGGUCCAAAGAAGUCCUCUUCAGUAAAACAACACAUAACACUUUUGUCAUUACUAGAAAUAAAACAAUUAAUUUCUGCGUUUCUAAAAAGAUACAAGGACAGUGAAUGAAAUAGCUGGAGGGUUUACUUAAAUGAGGUUCUAGAACAAAGGAAAAUAAAGAAAUAAAGUCAGUCAUAAAAAAGGAUGUAAGAUGCAAAUAGAAUGUUAGAGAAGUUGUGGUGUAAUGAAUGUGGAACAGAUCAGGGAACCACAGAAGAGACUAAGAGUAUAUCUCUUUGAUUUCUGCUCUCUUUUUCGUUUCCUAUUAAUGAGAAGUUUUAAUGGUUUCCCAGAAUGUCAACUCCCUGUCUGUAACCAGCAGCACUGGGCUGUGUGGGUGGCAGACAUCGAGAGGGGGGGCAGGAGGAGGAGUUACUCAACCAUCCGAGCAUCUUUUUCCAAUGCAAGUAAUUGUUUUCAAUGCAGCUUUCCACUAACGAAUCAUCUGUAACCAGGCUAAGAUAAGUGUGUCAGCUGCAAAUGUGUAUACACGUCGAUCUUUGUGAGGAGUGAUUUUACUUUUAGUCCUGAGCAGUGAGGACAUAUUUUUGAAUGUGAGGACAUUUUUUGGGGGGUUUAGACUUGCUUUAAAUGUGUGUGUGUUUGUAUGUGUUUGAUCCCUGUCCCUGCUAGUCCUGGUCAAUUGGUCCUUGGAGGAGACACUUUGCCCCACAUUACUCCUGUAUCUGUGCCUAUGGUGUUUGAAUGUUGUAAAAAAGUUUUGAUGACCAGUUCAGUUUAUGGAUGGGUGUGAAUCGCUUAGAGUGGUUGGAAAACUAGAAAGGAGCAAUAGAAGUAGGCAAUUUACCAUUUCCAUAAAUUUGGACUCGUGAAAUCAUUAGAAAAUAACUGCAUUCAUGUUCUCUACCACAGCACUUACAGGGACUCUAGCCAGCUACAGCGCUGUACCGUGAGUGUCACGUGUGAUAAGCCCUUCCAAGUGAAAUUCCAACAUGUCUAUAAACACUGUACUCUUGUCUCUGGCAAUGUUCCAAUUGACAUCCUUCUGACCCUUUCCCAAACAAACUUUUAACUUUCAGGGCUUUAGCUUGCUGGUCAAAUGAUUUACUGAUUAUCAUGAGAAUUUCAUUGUUAAGUGCACUGGCAUGCAGCACGUACUAUGUAUUUAUUAUAUUACAUUACAUGUCAUUUAGCUGACGCUUUUAUCCAAAGCGACUUACAAUAAGUGCAUUCAACCAUAAGGGUACAAACUCAGAAACAAGAAAGUGCAAUUUCCUCAAAUAAGCCAAUUUACAAUUUUCUUUAGAUAAGAGCCGUUAUAAGUACAAUUUAAGUGCUACAAUUUGUUAGUCUUUAGUCGAGGUAGAGUCUGAAGAGGUGUGUCUUUAGUUUGCGGCGGAAGAUGUGAAGGCUCUCUGCGGUCCUGGUGUCUUCAGAGAGCUCGUUCCCACCAUUUCGGAGCAAGAACAGCAAAGAGUCGUGAUCUGGUCGAGUGUUUUGCUCUCAGUGAGGGAGGGACGAGCAGUUUUGCAGAUGCAUAGCGGAGAGUGCGGGUCGGGAUGUAGGGUUUGACCAUGUCCUGGGUGUAAGCUGGACCCGAUCCAUUCACAGCAUGGUAGGUGAGCACCAAUGUUUUGAACUGGAUGCGGCAGCCACCGGUAGCCAGUGAAGAGAACGCAGGAGUGGAGUAGUGUGGGAGAAUUUCGGAAGGUUAAAGACCAGUCGAGCUGCCGCAUUCUGGAUGAGCUGCAGAGGUCGAAUGGCGGUAGCAGCGAGACCUGCCAGGAGCGAGUUGCAGUAGUCCAGACGUGAGAUGACAAGAGCCUGAAUCAGUACCUGGGCAGCCUUCUGAGUAAGAAGAGGAUGUAUUCUCCGGAUGUUGUAGAGAGUGUAUCUACAGGAUCGUGUUGUCGCGGUAAUGUUGGGAGUCAGGGAGAGUUGGCUGUCGAUUGUGACGCCGAGGUUCCUAGCGGUUAAAGUGGCCGUUAACACAGAGUUGCCAAAGUUGACAGUCAUGUCCUGGGUCGGAGAGUCUUUUCCUGGAAGGAGAAGUGGUUCAGUCUUGUCGGGGUUGAAUUUCAGGUGGUGGGCGGACAUCCACUGAGAGAUGUCAGUCAGACAGGCAGACAUCCGUGCCGCCACCUGGGUGUCCGAGGGAGGGAAGGAGAGAAUUAGUUGUGUGUCAUCUGCAUAGCUGUGGUAGGAGAAGCCAUGAGAGCGAAUGACAACGCCGAGAGAGUUGGUGUAGAGCGAGAAGAGAAGGGGACCCAGGACGGAACCCUGAGGAACUCCUGUAGUAAGAGGACAAGGUUCCGACACAGAUCCUCGCCAGGUUACCCGGUAGGUGCAGCCGUCGAGGUAGGAGAGAAGGGAGAGAGCAGAGCCUGAGACACCAAGUUCCUGAAGGGAGGAAAUAAGGAUCUGGUGGUUGACUGUGUCGAAUGCAGCAGAGAGGUCCAGAAGGAUGAGGACGGAGGAGAGAGAGGCGGCUCUAGCAGUGCGGAGUUGCUCUGAGCCAGCAAGGAGAGCAGUCUCUGUGGAAUGGCAUGCCUUGAAGCCUGACUGGUUGGGGUCAAGGAGGUUGUUAUGGUGGAGAUAGGAGGAGAGUUGGUUAAAGAUCGCACGUUCAAGGGGUUUGGACAAAAAGGGAAGAAGAGAGACUGGUCUGUAGCUGUUUUCUUCAGAAGGGUUGAGGGUAGGUUUCUUCAGGGGAGGGUUAACUCUUGCCAUGGAAUGUUGGUCAAGAGGGCAGGUGGUCGGACGGGCAGAGGUUACUAGGGUAAGAAUUUGGUUAGGAGACAGGGGGGUGAAAGAGGAAAAUGAGGGCAAUAGAGGUGAAGCCAGUUGGAUGCAGAAGUAGGAGGUGGAUUUGAGAAAGAGGAGCGUAUGUCAGCUAUUUUCUUGGUAAAGUAGUUGACAAAGUCAGCCGGAAGAAGGGGGGAGGGGGGAGGAGGACUAGAGGGUUCGAGGAGGUUGGAGAAGAUCGAAAAGAGUUUUUUGGGGUUAGAAAAUGAAGAUUCGAUUCUGGAUUGGUAGAGCUUUUGGCAGCAGAGAUAGAAGCAGAAAAAGAGGAGAGAAGAGAUUGAAAUUCAAGCAGGUCGUCAGGUCGUAAAUUUACACCAUCUCCUUUCCGAUGCUCGCACGGUGGCUCUCAUGGCACGCACCGGUUGAGACAGCCACGGAGCCGGAGGGGAUUUGCCAGUCCGUCGGGUCGUCAGAGGGCAGAGAGAGUCUAGAGAGGAGGAAAGAGUUGAGAGGAGAGUCUCAGCAGCAGCGAGUCGGUGGAAGGGAGAGCUGAUAGAACAGAGGAUGCUAGGGAGGAGGGAGAGAGGGAGCGAAUGUUGCAACGAACAGGUACACGUAUCAUUUUCAGUGGGCUGCCUGAGUCAAAGACGGCGAUGCAUCUUUUUUUUUUUAAACUCCUUCAACCCUCUCUGCCUGCUCAUCUAUCUUCAUCUAUACUCGUUAGUUUUGAGUCUCCUUCUCACAUAUCAUACCGUUUUCAUCACGAUCCUUUCCAUUCCUGUCAAGGUGUGGUUCACUUCCUGUCUUAUUUUGUAGUUUUCUGCCACUCGUGUCCCCGGGUAACUUCACUUCCUGCCUGGUCCUGUCAUCCCCUGUGAUUGUCGGAAUGGUUUCCACCUGUGUCCAAUCACCUGCACCUCCCUAGUGUAUUUAAGCAGUGUGUGUUGUUUGUCACUUGUGGCGUCAUUGUCUUUUGUCCUGGAUGGUCCUCGUUCCUGCCAGGUCCUUUUUCCCCUGGUACUUGUAUGUGUUUUUCCCCGUUGGCCUUUUGCUUUGUGGGAAUUUAUGACUAUUAAAGUCUUUUUGUUACUCAAACUCUGCAUUUGAGUCCUGCCUCCCCACGCACCCUUGACAUUUCCGUUUUUCCUUUUGGGUACUAGCCUCUUUUUUUUGCCUCUGCUCCGAAAAUGGCACACCCGUGAUACAAAGUGUAAUAACUCUGGAAAUACUUAGUCUAUUUGUACAAUUCAUUUUUGCGGGGAUAAAGGAUGACCCCUGUGAGUGCUAUGAUGUGUCAUAAACAGCCCUAUAAAUCCCAUAAAACAUUUAAAUACCAGGCUACAUCCAUGUGAUAGCCCAGUCUGUGGACAGUACACAUGUAAGGUUUCAAGUUGAUAGAGCAAGGAUAAACUAUUCUACAGAAGGCUUUUGUGAAGGCCUGACGUCAGACGGCGUGGCUCAGUCUUCAUUUUUUCACAGGUUGAGUUCAGAUUGGCCGAUUCGCACCAUUCCACCACUCUAUUGUUAUUUCUUUAAUCAGCCUGACUAUGAUUACGGUGCUCCGCAAGCGAUACUUAGCUUGCCAAGGCUUUUACUUUGGAAAACAGGUUUUCUGAUUGGCUCAAAAAAAAACAUACCAGACGGCUUGAGCAGCCAUCUUGUCUCUCACACACAUAGUGGAGCAUGUGUCAACGUGGAAUAUGUCAUGGAAUAUAUCAUUGCAAAAACAGCAGAAUAAAUCCAUAAUUUCUGUAAAAACAACAAAAGGUAAGACAUUGAUAUGAUCUUCUCGGUUCCAUGACUUUGUGUGGGUUUUGUGUGUGUGUGUGUGGUCCGACAUAUUUCAGAUUUUUUUGGCAGAGAAAUAAAACCUAUAUCACUAGAUUUGAUCUGCUGAUGCUAUUUGAUGUGUUGUUUUCCAUAAUAACAUUUAUUUCUGAUGGACGGAAAAAGUUCUACACCACCGUACGCAUAAUUUUUGGACACAUUUACAUAGUUUUUAUUUGACUAAUAUUACCCUAGUUAAAAUGAAGACUACUUUUAUUUGGACUGCAGAUUAUUGCAGCCAGCUCUAAUGCUUCGUACAAGGUAACGCAUCUGUGUUCAUGAUGAGUACCCAAAAUGCCGGCUCUGGCUCCAUUUUUACCCAUAUGGGAUCUGCUCGUCGCUGAAGUGUUGAAAUGCUGCAAAGAGUUGGCCUUGUCCGCCUCAUCUCAAUCCCCUUCCAGAUGACGAGUCCUGGCCCCCUUUCAAACAUCCGAUAUAUCAAUAGUAGGCAUUCUCCUGGGUAGGUGACUACAUUUACAUGCACAGUAACAUUGAACUAUUUUUCAGAAUAUGACAAUGAAAAAUGCUACACUUAUAUAAGUGUAGCACAAUAUAAGGAACAAUCAAUUUAAGUGGGGUAACAAUAUUUGGUAUUCAUGUUUAUAGUACUUUUGAAAUGUUUUAUACAGAAACUGGGUUGUUCACCAUUUUAUGAGCAUGACAUGUGUUUUAACCUGCUCUAAAUGGCCUGUAGAAGCCGUGACGGCCUCUCACAUCAACUCCCCUCAACUCGGCACCAAAGACGUCUGUGUUAAGAGUUUAGGAAUGUGUGCAUGAUUAUAACUCUUCACACAGAUUUAUUUGAUGCAGAGUUAGGGAGGACUAAUGAGUUUGAUUCUCUCCUCUGAGCAAACUGAAAAACGUGGUGAAAAGACACCUCACAAAAAUAAUUUUUCUAGGUAUAAGGUGUGUUUGCACUGCAAAUAAAUGUCCACCGUGAGUGCCAUAGUUUGAGGCGUAGGGCCACAGACCAAGCUGCUGUAUUUGACGAGUAAGAAUUGGUUGGUAUCAUAACUGUAUGUAUAGUCACAGUUGACAUUCAUACAUUAAAUAACCCAGGAACACCUUUUUAGAGAACAACUACGUUGUAUUGAACAAUCAUUUUUAACUUAUUCAGGGAUAUCCAUUUAGAUAUCAGGUGUUUCAGGCACCCAUUUGCAGACUUCAUACAGGAUGGUGGGUGGUUUAUUGCUUUGUGGCGACCACACCACCGUACAGCGCCUCACUCUUUUUAUAGUGCUAAAGUUAUAGGAAAGAGAAAAUAGUCGGCUGUCAGCGCUUCUCAAUGAUCCAUAUGUCCAAUAUUAUUAUUGCUCAUUUAUUUUUCAAUACAGGCGGUUAGAUAACUCUGAAAUCUUGUUUUCAAAAUUCAGACUACAAAAGAAACGCUGCAUAUUUUCAAUACCACUAUCUGUUCGACCUACUUAAGUACAUAAGCAUUACAAAAAUGCAUUACAUUGCAUUACAGUGUGCUGUAAUCUCAUCUUCAACCGCUUAUCCAACUAUCGGUAGAACUCUCUUUUCCAGCACCUUGAAGUAGACUAUACCAAACAUAGAUAAAUCAAAUAUAACUAAGGAACUGGAUGUUGAUCUAAUUUUGAACUACAUGAAUUAGGCUAGUGUACUGCUCUCUUCUACUCUAAACUUAUUAAAGUCACUGCUUCCCCUGAGAGAACAACUCCCAAGGUUGUAUGGCCUUCCAGUUAAAAUGAAGCCAAGGAUGUGAACAUGUUCAAUUCUUUCAAGACCUCAUGACUUCUGGACUGCGACAAAAACAGAAACCACUGAGCACUGCCUUCCUUCCAGAAAUGAGAAGGAGAGAAUAGGGACUUUUUACCUUUUAACAGUUAUAAUACAAACAGCAAUAAUUGUCAACAUUAUGAAUGAGGCCUGAUUCUUCAUUCAUUUAACUGCUAUAUAUCCUUAUUUAUUUUAGAUUCGUCCCAUAAUUACCAGAUGUGAAAGAUUUUUCUUUCUCAGCAACAGAAUAACAUUUUUUCUCAAUCGUAAAUCCAUAAUUUGUUUGUGUCCCUUUGAUACAUAAGCCCGUUUCACGUUUAACCCGUUGCUACGGUAAAGUAAAACCUGUUGUCUUUAUAUGAACAUAUAAUUCCGUUAUAUUAGGCAGUAGACAAUCUCUGAAAGUAAUCUUUACUCCACAAAGAUCAUUUGGGGAAAGACGCAUUGUUUGUUUGCCAGGAAAUAGACUGCUAAACUGAUAAAAGUGCGACGGAUGCACUUUGGCUCGCUGUGAUCUUGGUGGGACCCAUUGGUGCUCGAUAGGAGCCAUUUAUGCGUCACUUAACUUUGUCAACCAAACAAUCAGUGUGUUUACAUGAUGGUAUAAUUUGAAUCUUUGCUUAGUCGGACUGUGCUAUCUUUUGGGGCAAGUGGCUAUUAUCCCAAUAUACAUGGCAGUGAAUAAAUCGAAUCAUUGGCCGAAAGCAUAUCACAUCCGAUACGAUAGGUGGCGCUGUUUUCAUUACAACUAGUUAUGAUACAGCCAUUUCCGCUUGAUCUCUUCACAACAACCAAUAACAACAACAUCAACAUUACAAGAAAGAUGGCGAACGGAGAGCAAGGUGAAGCUACAUCCCUCUACUAUUUUUGCAUAAUGUUAAUAGUAGUACAGCGAAUGCGAAUGGCGCUAUCGGCUGAUUUGAUAACGGAGAGAAGACGCCGUCAGGAUCUCAAGCAUGCGCAAAGACGCAAAGUCCAGUUCCUUAUUCCAUUCACCGUUACAUGCCGCAAUAGUCGAACUAUCAACCGGAUCGGAUCGAGUUAUCCAGGGGUAAUAGUCGGAUCGUAGUCGGGCCGCAAAUAGUCGGACAAAGGUGUUUACAUGAAACGGAUAAUUUGAUUUCAGUCCGACUAAGCCAGUUAUUCGAUGCCAUGUAACCACGCUGACAGAGUCCUCCUAAUUGACAGAAGCCAUUGUGGUUACAUCUCUCCCUCUCUCUCUGUGUUUGAUUGGCCCCUCCAACCCCCCGCGCCACUGCAGGGUGCCAUCUUCCCAACUGUGUAUGAGAGCCACCAUUAGACUCUGUCAGGACAAGUGUGCAUUUAUGUGUGUGGGGGGGGUCUGUAGGUAUAAAUAGAUCCUCUUACCAAGCUGAAUUAAUUAAGUGUGUUUGAGGCCCAAAGAGUGGCGUUUAAAGAGGCCACUGCUGGAAGAGAAAGGAACCAUUAGGAUUUUACUUUCAUGUUUUUGACACACACACACACACACACUUGUAGACUCCAUCCACUGCAGCAGAUUAAAUACAAAAGCAAAUCACUGAUAAACGUACACACACACACACAUACACACACAAUGUAAUCGAGAUGCCUGGCAACGGCAGCGCUGAGAGGUUUGAAGAGGGGGAAUAAAAGAGGCCACCUGCCUCAAUUAGUUUGAGGACGGAGGGGUAGAUGGAGGGAGGCUAUGACUGAGAGGAAGAGAUGAAAAGAGAGAUAAAGAGUAGGUGGAGAGAAGCUGGAGGGAGGCAGAUUGAGUUGAGAGAACUCCAGUGGCACAGAGGGGGAGAGGGGAGUGGAAGUAAGGGGAGACGUUAGUGGGUGGGUGGGAGAGAGCGCACAUUAAGCUGCUGAUUGGGCCUUUUGAAGGCCGAUACUGAUGCCUCUGGAUUUGGAGCAAAGCUGCCGAUUUCCAGUAGUCUGAGCGCUAAGACGGAGAGGCCAUGUUGUUGUCUCCCUUAUUUCAUCUGAAAGAGAAAACGUGAAACCAAAAAACUCACACACACACACACGCACACACACAUCUGUAACAAGACGACUUCUAUCCCUCCAUAUUCCAAGCCCAAAGGUCAAAGAUAGCAAUGACUAG
ensembl:lncRNA